rnacentral:rRNA from 1 species
AAGACCUUGCGCUUUUGGAGCGGCCGAUGCCUGAUUAGCUUGUUGGUAAGGUAAAGGCUUACCAAGGCUUCGAUCAGUAGCUGGUCUGAGAGGACGGCCAGCCACACUGGGACUGAGACACGGCCCAGACUCCUACGGGAGGCAGCAGUGGGGAAUUUUGGACAAUGGGGGAAACCCUGAUCCAGCCAUGCCGCGUGAGUGAAGAAGGCCUUCGGGUUGUAAAGCUCUUUCAGCCGGAACGAAACGGUUACGGAUAAUACCCGUGACUACUGACGGUACCGGAAGAAGAAGCACCGGCUAACUACGUGCCAGCAGCCGCGGUAAUACGUAGGGUGCGAGCGUUAAUCGGAAUUACUGGGCGUAAAGCGUGCGCAGGUGGUUUUGUAAGUCAGAUGUGAAAGUCCCGGGCUCAACCUGGGAACU